rnacentral:rRNA from 1 species
GAUUAACGCUGGCGGCAGGCCUAACACAUGCAAGUCGAACGGACCCUUCGGGGUUAGUGGCGGACGGGUGAGUAACACGUGGGAACGUGCCUUUAGGUUCGGAAUAGCUCCUGGAAACGGGUGGUAAUGCCGAAUGUGCCCUUCGGGGGAAAGAUUUAUCGCCUUUAGAGCGGCCCGCGUCUGAUUAGCUAGUUGGUGAGGUAAAGGCUCACCAAGGCGACGAUCAGUAGCUGGUCUGAGAGGAUGACCAGCCACAUUGGGACUGAGACACGGCCCAAACUCCUACGGGAGGCAGCAGUGGGGAAUCUUGCGCAAUGGGCGAAAGCCUGACGCAGCCAUGCCGCGUGGAUGAUGAAGGUCUUAGGAUUGUAAAAUCCUUUCACCGGUGAAGAUAAUGACUGUAGCCGGAGAAGAAGCCCCGGCUAACUUCGUGCCAGCCGCCGCUGUAA